AAGCAAACCUGACCCCUAAUCAGCUUUGGAGAAUUGGGAGGAUGCAAGUACCGGUGCAAGAGCCAGAUCUGUCUGAGAUCGAACACUUGCAUGACCAGGAAGCUUGUGGUGCUGAUCCAGAACAUGGAGUCAUAGUACCAGAAACUGCAUGCCCCUUGUCAGCUGAGGCUAUUGCGGCCUUACAAGAUAUUAACUCCACUGCAGAGUCCUCUUCUCUUGGGCGGGAUAUCUAUAUGCAUGCUCUUCAAUUGGUCUCAUUCCUUUUGAUGCAGCAAAGUUGGUGAUGACGGUGAUGUGGGGUUCCAACAACUACAAGAGGACCUAAGGGCCAUAUCCACACAGCAACUCCUUACACAAGCAACAAUGGGAUAAAGCAGUCUCCGUGUAAGAGACCUCCAAUGCCUGCUCUAUAGUGAUAGGGUAAUGGUGGCCAUAAUAUGAAAAAUUGUCAGAAUGUUCAGUUUGUGUUAACUGUUUCUAGGACAUGUUGAAUCAACUGUAUGAUCUUUUGUAAGGAUCUCUUUCUCCGCACUAGCAUGUCAAUCAGCUGUGCAAGGAGGCUCCAGCCCACAAGUGUU